AUUAAGCAUAUCAAUAAGCGGAGGAAAAGAAACCAACAGGGAUUGCCCUAGUAACGGCGAGUGAAGCGGCAACAGCUCAAAUUUGAAAUCUGGCGUAAGCCCGAGUUGUAAUUUGUAGAGGAUGCUUCUGGGUAGCGGCCGGUCUAAGUUCCUUGGAACAGGACGUCAUAGAGGGUGAGAAUCCCGUAUGUGACUGGCUUGCACCCUCCACGUAGCUCCUUCGACGAGUCGAGUUGUUUGGGAAUGCAGCUCUAAAUGGGAGGUAAAUUUCUUCUAAAGCUAAAUACCGGCCAGAGACCGAUAGCGCACAAGUAGAGUGAUCGAAAGAUGAAAAGCACUUUGGAAAGAGAGUUAAAAAGCACGUGAAAUUGUUGAAAGGGAAGCGCCCGCAACCAGACUUUGCGGCGGUGUUCGGCUGGUCUUCUGACCGGUUUACUCGCCGCCGUGAGGCCAUCAUCGUCUGGGACCGCUGGAUAAGACCUGAGGAAUGUAGCUCCCUUCGGGGUGUGUUAUAGCCUCUGGUGAUGCAGCGCGUCUCGGGCGAGGUCCGCGCUUCGGCAAGGAUGAUGGCGUAAUGGUUGUCGGCGGCCCGUCUUGAAACACGGACCAAGGAGUCUAACAUCUAUGCGAGUGUUCGGGUGUCAAACCCCUACGCGUAAUGAAAGUGAACGGAGGUGGGAACUUUUUGUGCACCAUCGACCGAUCCUGAUGUCCUCGGAUGGAUUUGAGUAAGAGCAUAGCUGUUGGGACCCGAAAGAUGGUGAACUAUGCCUGAAUAGGGUGAAGCCAGAGGAAACUCUGGUGGAGGCUCGCAGCGGUUCUGACGUGCAAAUCGAUCGUCAAAUUUGGGUAUAGGGGCGAAAGACUAAUCGAACCAUCUAGUAGCUGGGUUCCUGCCGAAGUCCCCCCUUCAGGGA
rnacentral:rRNA from 1 species